rnacentral:lncRNA from 1 species
AAGAUGUUUCUAUCACCCAUGCUAAAUGAAACAAGCAAAUAGGGAAAAGAACCUUCUCCCAAAUCACUAUCUUUGUGUGACCUUUCUCUAAGCUAAAAAAAAUAAUAAAAAUAAAAGGAAUCAAAAAAGAAGAAAUCUGUGGGUCAACUGGAUCCUUGAGAACAGGACCUCUAUCUGAUUAAUCUCUGUAUGAUUUUCAGUAUUUACCAUGUAUUUAAAUUAUGAUAUACAUGCACAAUUCAGAUAUUUAAUCAACAUUUCUUGAAUGAGAAGGAAUCUGAGAAGAUUAGGCUCUAACAAAGCCUAAUAGGUAGAGUUAAUGCUAAAAGUGCCAUUUAAAAUGACUUUUAAAUCUCUCUGAAGAUCUCUGGCAGCAAACAUCACUAAAACACAGAAAAAGAAAAGGCUCAUUUCAACGGUAAAGUCCCCAAUCCCUACAGGCUUAUGACUUAAGGAGAUAAUGAUAAAGUCGCAUCAUACUCCAGUCUACAUUACCCGAAUUCAACUCUAUAUCCUCAGUAGCAACCGCCAAGAAAAGGAGAACUUCAGGAAGUAUGCAUCCCAAUGCAAAACCGAGAUAUGAGAGGAGACACCACUAUUCUGCAAUCAGCUUCAUGCCUGUAUCUUCUCCCAGGAUGGUCACUGUGCCAGUGGAUGGGAGUCUAGCUGCAAAAUGCAUAUGAUAUGCCUCUUGAAUACCUACGUAUAUACUGUGAAAGGAAAAUAGAAUCUUGGCACCCCAAACUCACUAUGCCAAAUGGAAAGUUAAGCUUAGAAACUGAGUCACACAAAAACUGCCUUCCUUUUUGUUCCCAAAUAGCUGUAAUUCCACAUGCUUACUUUAUCUUAUGUAACAUGUUAAAAUGUAGAUUAACCAAGCAAGAGAAGAAUGCAAAAUUGGCUUUUCCUGUACUCUUCUUUGCACAUGUAACAUGUAGAUUCACUGAGUGCUAAUCAGAGCCUACCAAGAUGGAGCCGCUUGCCUCACUGCCUGCCUGUCCUCCUUUUCUUUUUCUUCCCCAAAUGCUUGCUCUUUCUUUCUUUCUUCUUCUUCUUCUUUUUUUUUUUGAGAUGGAGUCUUGCUGUGUCUUCCAGGCUGGAGUGCCGUGGCGUGAUCUCAGCUCAAGAGCUGGGAUUACAGGUGCCUGCCACCACACCCAGCUAUUUUUUUUUUUUUUUUUGCAUUUUUAAUAGAGACGGGGUUUCACCACGUUGGCCAGGCUGGUCUCAAACCCCUCACCUCAAGUGAUCCACCCACUUUGGCCUCCCAAAGUGCUGGGAUUAUAGGCAUGAGCCACUGUGCCCAGCCUCUUUCUUGGUUAAAUACUGAACAUCCCAAAACCCUCUGUGGAUAAAGCAUAGGUUGCAGAUCCUACUGAGGCACGUGUUUGUUUUUCUCAGGUG